UUGAAGAAUUGCAGGUGGUGGAU
rnacentral:miRNA from 1 species